rnacentral:rRNA from 1 species
UGCAGGAUGACGGUCCUAUGGAUUGUAAACUGCUUUUGUACGGGAAGAAACACUCCUUCGUGAAGGAGCUUGACGGUACCGUAAGAAUAAGGAUCGGCUAACUCCGUGCCAGCAGCCGCGGUAAUACGGAGGAUCCAAGCGUUAUCCGGAAUCAUUGGGUUUAAAGGGUCCGUAGGCGGUCUUGUAAGUCAGUGGUGAAAGCCCAUCGCUCAACGGUGGAACGGCCAUUGAUACUGCAGGACUUGAAUUAUUGGGAAGUAACUAGAAUAUGUAGUGUAGCGGUGAAAUGCUUAGAGAUUACAUGGAAUACCAAUUGCGAAGGCAGGUUACUACCAAUUGAUUGACGUUGAUGGACGAAAGCGUGGGUAGCGAACAGGAUUAGAUACCCUGGUAGUCCACGCCGUAAACGA